UCAUAAUAUAUGUUAAUAGUCGGUUGAUAAAAACUAUCGUUUAAAAUCUAAAGAUCUUGGCAGUGUCCUUAUAUAAUCAGGGGAGUCUGUUUCUUAAUAUGAUAAUCCACAAAUAUCUUACCAUAUAUCGAAAUAUCAGUUUGUAUAUUGCCGUCAUUGUUUAACUUAAAAAUUUAAACAAAUUAGUAUUUUGCUAUAAUUUCAGGUCAAAAUGCAGCUAACAAUAUGGAGUAAUAAAUGGACUAUAUCUAUUACUAUUACUAGUCUUGAAAUACUACUAUAGAACUUGCCAGUAAUAAAGUUUAAUUAUAAUUUUAUUAAUCAAUAAUAAGACAUGCACAUAUCGCCCGUCACUCUCGUUGAAAAAUG
rnacentral:rRNA from 1 species